rnacentral:rRNA from 2 species
UUAAUUUGAGAGUUUGAUCCUGGCUCAGGACGAACGCUGGCGGCGUGCCUAAUACAUGCAAGUCGAACGAACUCUGGUAUUGAUUGGUGCUUGCAUCAUGAUUUACAUUUGAGUGAGUGGCGAACUGGUGAGUAACACGUGGGAAACCUGCCCAGAAGCGGGGGAUAACACCUGGAAACAGAUGCUAAUACCGCAUAACAACUUGGACCGCAUGGUCCGAGCUUGAAAGAUGGCUUCGGCUAUCACUUUUGGAUGGUCCCGCGGCGUAUUAGCUAGAUGGUGGGGUAACGGCUCACCAUGGCAAUGAUACGUAGCCGACCUGAGAGGGUAAUCGGCCACAUUGGGACUGAGACACGGUCCAAACUCCUACGGGAGGCAGCAGUAGGGAAUCUUCCACAAUGGACGAAAGUCUGAUGGAGCAACGCCGCGUGAGUGAAGAAGGGUUUCGGCUCGUAAAACUCUGUUGUUAAAGAAGAACAUAUCUGAGAGUAACUGUUCAGGUAUUGACGGUAUUUAACCAGAAAGCCACGGCUAACUACGUGCCAGCAGCCGCGGUAAUACGUAGGUGGCAAGCGUUGUCCGGAUUUAUUGGGCGUAAAGCGAGCGCAGGCGGUUUUUUAAGUCUGAUGUGAAAGCCUUCGGCUCAACCGAAGAAGUGCAUCGGAAACUGGGAAACUUGAGUGCAGAAGAGGACAGUGGAACUCCAUGUGUAGCGGUGAAAUGCGUAGAUAUAUGGAAGAACACCAGUGGCGAAGGCGGCUGUCUGGUCUGUAACUGACGCUGAGGCUCGAAAGUAUGGGUAGCAAACAGGAUUAGAUACCCUGGUAGUCCAUACCGUAAACGAUGAAUGCUAAGUGUUGGAGGGUUUCCGCCCUUCAGUGCUGCAGCUAACGCAUUAAGCAUUCCGCCUGGGGAGUACGGCCGCAAGGCUGAAACUCAAAGGAAUUGACGGGGGCCCGCACAAGCGGUGGAGCAUGUGGUUUAAUUCGAAGCUACGCGAAGAACCUUACCAGGUCUUGACAUACUAUGCAAAUCUAAGAGAUUAGACGUUCCCUUCGGGGACAUGGAUACAGGUGGUGCAUGGUUGUCGUCAGCUCGUGUCGUGAGAUGUUGGGUUAAGUCCCGCAACGAGCGCAACCCUUAUUAUCAGUUGCCAGCAUUAAGUUGGGCACUCUGGUGAGACUGCCGGUGACAAACCGGAGGAAGGUGGGGAUGACGUCAAAUCAUCAUGCCCCUUAUGACCUGGGCUACACACGUGCUACAAUGGAUGGUACAACGAGUUGCGAACUCGCGAGAGUAAGCUAAUCUCUUAAAGCCAUUCUCAGUUCGGAUUGUAGGCUGCAACUCGCCUACAUGAAGUCGGAAUCGCUAGUAAUCGCGGAUCAGCAUGCCGCGGUGAAUACGUUCCCGGGCCUUGUACACACCGCCCGUCACACCAUGAGAGUUUGUAACACCCAAAGUCGGUGGGGUAACCUUUUAGGAACCAGCCGCCUAAGGUGGGACAGAUGAUUAGGGUGAAGUCGUAACAAGGUAGCCGUAGGAGAACCUGCGGCUGGAUCACCUCCUUUCUAAGGAA